GAUGAACGCUGACAGAAUGCUUAACACAUGCAAGUCGAUGGGGAAGUGGUGCUUGCACCAUGGCAACCAUGGCGGACGGGUGAGUAACGCGUAAGGGACUUACCCGCAGGACUGGGAUAACAGGGGGAAACUCCUGACAAGACCGGAUAAUGUCAUGGAGCUGCAUGGCUUUAUGAUGAAAGGAGACGCCUGCGGAGAGCCUUGCGUCCUAUUAGCUAGUUGGUGAGGGAAUGGCUCACCAAGGCGAAGAUAGGUAGCCGGCCUGAGAGGGUGGACGGCCACAAGGGGACUGAGAUACGGCACUUACUCCUGCGGGAGGGAGCAGUGGGGAAUAUUGGACAAGGGGGGCAACUCUGGUCCAGCAAUUGUGUGUGCAAGAAGGAGGUUUUCGGAUUGUAAAGUGCUUUCAGCAGGGAAGAAGUAAGUGACGGUACCUGCAGAAGAAGCGACGGCUAAAUACGUG
rnacentral:rRNA from 1 species